UACACCAUACUAUGUUGUUCCAGCUGUCUGGGUAAAGACUGAUACAUUACUGCCUCUUGGAGAACAGCAAACCAUUCUCCAGACAGAGACAAAGACAUGGACAUCAAAACAGAAAAUUAAGUACUUGAUCUUGGAUUGUUUGGAGUGAACGCUGGAAAAUAAUGAAGCAGGAAAUUGACUAAAACAAUUUUUGUACUUGGCUGUAAGAAGUCCUUUGUGUGCACAGACAUGACUGGAGAUUAAAGUUACUAAAUGUUGCUUUUUUUCUAGCUGGUGACAUAACAUGGUAUUAUUUUCAAAUGUAUUUAUCUAAUACACAUUUGCACAUCUGUAAACAUUCAUUUUAUAUAGGAUGUUUUUUAUAUUUAACCAGUUGUUGUAUAUUGCUUUCUGUUAUUACAUCUGUUUUUUUUGCCUGUUUAUUGUUUAAAACAAUUAAGUUAAUGUUUCUCUGUUAGCUUUUACUUUGGCUAUUUCUUUGCUUUUAUUUGAUCCUUCUACUGUUAUUUGUUUAUUUGGCAGAACAUUUGACAUUUCAUUUAUUUUGCUGUUAUCUGAAAUUAUCCUUGUCACCAUCAAUAAAACUCUAUAUUUGCUUUAUAUCUGUGUUUUUCAAUUACACAUUUUACGGGAUAUAAAUAUAUUUUGGUCACUUUAUGGCUAUUUUCUGGGGCAUCUGGAUAAGUUGUGGGUGGGUUCUGGGGUAAAUAUGGUAAUUUUGGUUAUUUUAUGGGUUACAUUUGGGGUUUCUGGAAAAGUUGUGGGUAAGUUUGGGGAUAAAUGUGGUAAUUUGGGCUGUUUUUUGGUUGUUAUCUGGAGAUUCCGGGAGAGCUGUGGCUGAUUUCUCGAGGUGUGAAAGGGUUGCGGCUAAGUUAUGGUCUGCUUUCGGCUAGAUUCUGGAUUACUUAAGGCAAGCAGCUCUGGGACCAAUCAAGGACCGUAAGCCGUGGCGGCAUGUGUGCCAAAAGAACAGCCUGAACUCAGCCAUUUCUGGCCCUGAAAAAUUUUGCUAUCUGGGAAA